UUCACUUAGCUUUACUUUUGAAAAGAACAAGGCAGAGCAAAAAAUAUGAAACAAUUUCUAAGUUUUAUUUUGCUUGCGUCAAGCAUCCUUGUUUUGGCAUCAUCCCAGACCGGAGUAGAAUUGCUUAAAGAUGAAGGAACCGAUCCUGACUUAACUGCUAAUCCAGAAUCAGUAGAAACCAUCGCACUACCAGAAAAUGUAGUCCCCUAUUUUAAUGAUCCAGGCUGUCAACGAAUGGUGUGGAAUCGAAGCCGGCGAUGUAAGAGAAAUUUCAAAAAGCCGUCGCAAAAAGCCCCAAUAAAUAAAGAGGUGUUUGAAGAUUCUGGCGAGUUUCCAGAACUAAAAAAAGAACUACGGAAGAAUAAUCGACCCAGAAAGAUGUACGAUUCAGCCUGUGUUAUCUGGAGCCGAUCCAGAAAGAGAUGCAAUUCUGGAAAGCGAAAUUUUCGACAAAAAUAACGUGAUGCCAACCCAAAUGACAUAUUGCCUGACGAAAUGGAAUCCCUUGCUCGAAAUCUCAAAAACAGUUAUUAUGAAUAAUAAAAGAAUAAGUAUAUGUUAACAAGAGAUCUAGUUCGAUUCAAUGAAGAAUAUAAAGUUAAGAUUGAAUAAAACUGCAAUACAAAUGUU